GUUUACAAGGCGUGACUCAGGUCAGCAAGCCUCUGGAAAGAGGAUCAAUCUCGGGACCCAGCUGUGGGGAGACGUCAGCUCCAUGCCUUGGCAGUGGAGCAGGGCUGGGUGUCCACCUGGUGGGCGCCCUUCCCAAUGGGGCUUGCCCCUAAACCAAGGAGUUGGGCAGGGCCGAGCCUUGAGAGAUUGGCCAGCGCAGCAGUUCUGGCCUGGGGUAGCCCUGCAGGAGCUCCUUGGCACCUUGUUUCUGGCCCUGAGAGGGCAAGGGUGGUAUUUGGGAGCAGUAGCAAAUGUACCGAGAGGCGUGAUGGCUGCGUCCUUGAGGAGCCCGCCGUUAGCAGGGACGUCAUUCAUUCACCCAUUCAGCAGAUGGUUCUGGACGGUCUCCUAUGCUCUGUUCUGGGCGCUGGCGAUCCAUCAAAGAAGAAAACGGAGUCUCUGCCUUCUAGACAAGUCAGUGGACACCGUGACCCCAGAGGGAAGUGCUGUGAGAGAGGGAUGUGCACAGAGGAGUGUCCCCCUGACCGUCAGGAGGCGUCAGAAGAGGCUUCUCAGAGGGCAAGUCCAGCGGGGCCUGAGCUCAGGAGGUUACCAGUCAGAGCGCGGGGAGGAGCAUUCCGGGGCAUGGGCCCGGCCGUGGCACUGUGAGGACAUCGUCCAGUGGAUUUGAGCUGAGGGACUGCGGGGGCAGGGGAAGGGAGAGGAGGCAGGAAAGACAGGCUGGGCCCCGCCCACUUGUGAAAAGCUUGGACUUCAUCCUGGAGACAAAGGAGUCAAGUCGCAGAGUCGUCAGAAGAGAGGGACUUUCCGCCCUGAGGCCCGGUUCAGACUGCCCAGGGAGGGUCCCUCCCUCCCACUCUGUCCCUGCCUCUGCCCUGAGGCGGGGGGCUCUGGCUCCACAUCCCAGGCGUUGGUGCAGAUGCUGCCACUCCAUCCACCCUCUGGAAGAGGAGGCAGGGCCUGGCCCGGCUGCAGCCACGUUGGCAGGGUCACUGCCCCAGUCCCUGGCCUGUCGCUCUGGCUCACCCCCACCCGCUCACUGCCCGUCCUCUAGCCUCCUCCUCUUCUGCUUCCCGGUUCCCUGGGUGAACUCUUCCGGGUCAGGCUUCUCUCCGCAGGCCUCUGCUGCUCCCCAGGGAGGAAGACCAGGUGGUUGCCGGCCUCGCCUCCCUUCCCAGUUGUCGGGAGGAGCCAUGGAGAACACCAUGAAGACGAAGGGCGAACUGGACCUCACGUGCCCCGGACGCCUCUCGGCUGGACUCCUGGCCUACCUUGGGUUUUACUUAUUUUUAUCCUUGGAAUGGAGUGAAGUUGCCAAAAGGAUAUUGUUCCACCUGCAAGGGCCCUCCUGGAGGAUGAAUUUUCAAAUAUUCAUUUCUACAACUUGCUCGCAGCAAUAACGCAGAAGACAAGAGCGCCUGGGGAGGAGAGGGGGACAGCGACAUGGGUCCCGGGGGGAGCCUGGGGCCUUGGGGAACUGAGAAGUGGGCUUUGCAAUGGAGAGACAUUCCAGGACUUGACUCUCAGGAGUUAGACAAGAGGAAUAAGGGGAAUGCUCAGUACGCUUUCAAAAUUCUCUUUAUAAUGCUGAAAAAAUC
ensembl:lncRNA